AGGUGAGGAAGGUCCCUCGUCUCAAGACCAAGGACAGUAUCCUGACACAUCCACCCAUUCUGCUCUGAGCGCCUUAUUCCAGUGGCCAGCAGGUGGCGACAGCCGGUUAUUGAAGAGACAGCAGAGCACCAGAGGCCCACCGGGUGGAGGCUAUGUGGGCUGGAGUGUAACCUGUUGUCCCUGGGCUCUGGCAGGGCACUGUCCUCCCGAAAAUGCCCUGCAUGCCGGCCCAGCAGGCUCUUUCCUGGGAGACAGGCUGCUCGGAUGCAUUCUCGGGGGCCCCUGGAGCCCUGGUAUUCCCUCAGAAGUGUCAAGAAAGAGGGGUCAGUUCUCAGCCCCAGCUCUGCUUUUCCAUGUUACAGGGUUUACAUUUCCAAGGACUCCGUACUGGACAGCUCAAGAGCCAAAUGAAAUUCAUUUGGAAAUCUA